GACGAAAGCUGUCGGCGUGCUUAACACAUGCAAGUCGAACGGAGUGGCGAACGGGUGAGUAACUCGUGGGUCACCUUCCCUGCACUUCCGGAUAAGCCUGGGAAACUGGGUCUCAUACCGUAUAGUGUGGGUUGGGCCCGCGGCCUAUCAGCUUGUUGGUGGGGUAAUGGCCUACCAAGGCGGCGACGGGUUGCCUGCCUGAGAGGGUGGACGGCCACAUUGGGACUGAGAUACGGCCCAGGAUCCUACGGGGGGCAGCAGUGGAGAAUAUUGCACAAUGGGCGGAAGCCUGAUGCAGCGACGCCGGGUGGGGGAUGACGGCUUUCGGGUUGUAAACUCCUUUCACCAUCGACGCGGUAGAUGGAGAAGAAGCACCGGCUAACUACGUGCCAGCAGCCGCGGUAAUAC
rnacentral:rRNA from 1 species